rnacentral:lncRNA from 1 species
GAGCUCCAUUGCAAAGCAUGCACAUUGCACAGCAUCAUGCCUUACACAAUUAUGCGUCUUGCACUAGUGUUUCAUUGCACAAGAGCUCCUGUGCAAACGACUAUGCAACACGUUGCACAAGAGCUCACGUGCAAAUGAGUGUGCAAUGCAUUGCACAAGAGCUCCAUUGCAAAGCAUGCAUACUGCACAGCAUCAUGCCUUACACAAUUAUGCGUCUUGCACUAGUGUUUCAUUGCACAAGAGAUCCUGUGCAAACAAGUGUGCAACACAUUGCACAAGAGCUCCUUUGCAAAGCACAUUGCAUGUCAUGCCUUGCACAACCAUGUGCCUUGCACCAGUGUUUCAUUGCACAAGAGCUCACGUGCAAACGAGUGUGCAAAAGAGCUCCGUUGCAAAGCAUGCACGUCGUGCCUUGCACAACCACUCACCUUGCACUAGUGUUGCAUUGCACAGCUUUGUGCGUUGCACAAGUCCUUCAUUUCACAACGCUGUGUUUUGCACGGCAUUGUGCAUUGCACACCUGCUCCAUUGCAUGAGUGUGCAACACACGGUGCCUUGCAAUGCACAGAUCCUUCAUGAGUGUGCACUGCCUUGCACAAGUGCUCGUGUGCACGAGUCCUUCAUUGCAACGCAGCUUGCACUGCUUUGCACAAGUGCUUUGACACUAUUAUGGGCACCCCAUUAUGGGCAACCUAUUGUGGACCCCAAUACAGGGAUCCCAAUAUGGUGA